GCCAGACUCCUACGGGAGGCAGCAGUGGGGGAUAUUGCACAAUGGGGGAAACCCUGAUGCAGCGACGCCGCGUGGGCGAAGAAGUAUUUCGGUAUGUAAAGCCCUCUCAGCAGGGAAGAAGAAAUGACGGUACCUGAGUAAGAAGCACCGGCUAAAUACGUGCCAGCAGCCGCGGUAAUACGUAUGGUGCAAGCGUUAUCCGGAUUUACUGGGUGUAAAGGGAGCGCAGGCGGCACGGCAAGCCUGAUGUGAAAGCCGGGGGCCCAACCGCGGGACUGCAUUGGGAACUACCGGGCUGGAGUGCCGGAGAGGUAGGCGGAAUUCCUAGUGUAGCGGUGAAAUGCGUAGAUAUUAGGAGGAACACCAGUGGCGAAGGCGGCCUACUGGACGGUGACUGACGCUGAGGCUCGAAAGCGUGGGGAGCAAACGGGAUUAGAUACCCCUGUA
rnacentral:rRNA from 1 species